rnacentral:sRNA from 1 species
CCUCUUCAAUUUGCUGCGGACAGAUGAAAUGGAUAUGGGUAUCGAUGCCGCCCGCGGUGACGAUCAUGCCCUCGCCCGCGAUCACCUCGGUGCCCGCGCCGAUGGCAAUCUCCACGCCGGGCUGGAUGUCGGGAUUGCCCGCCUUGCCGAUGGCGGAAAUAUAACCGCCCUUGAUGCCGAUGUCGGCCUUGACGAUGCCCCAGUGGUCGACGAUCAACGCAUUGGUAAUUACCGUAUCCGCCACUUCGCUCGCUACGCCCUGGCCUUGCCCCAUGCCGUCGCGG